rnacentral:rRNA from 1 species
CCAGACUCCUACGGGAGGCAGCAGUGAGGAAUAUUGGUCAAUGGACGAGAGACUGAACCAGCCAAGUCGCGUGAGGGAAGACGGCCCUAUGGGUUGUAAACCUCUUUUGUCAGGGAGCAACGCCGGCUACGUGUAGCCGGACUGAGAGUACCUGAAGAAAAAGCAUCGGCUAACUCCGUGCCAGCAGCCGCGGUAAUACGGAGGAUGCGAGCGUUAUCCGGAUUUAUUGGGUUUAAAGGGUGCGUAGGCGGGAUGUCAAGUCAGCGGUAAAAAUUCGGGGCUCAACCCCGGCCGGCCGUUGAAACUGGGGGCCUUGAGUGGGCGAGAAGAAGGCGGAAUGCGUGGUGUAGCGGUGAAAUGCAUAGAUAUCACGCAGAACACCGAUUGCGAAGGCAGCCUUCCGGCGCCCAACUGACGCUGAGGCACGAAAGUGCGGGGAUCGAACAGGAUUAGAUACCCUAGUACA